AGUGAACGCUGGCGGUAGGCCUAACACAUGCAAGUCGAACGGCAGCACGGUAAGAGCUUGCUCUUACGGGUGGCGAGUGGCGGACGGGUGAGGAAUACAUCGGAAUCUACUUUUUCGUGGGGGAUAACGUAGGGAAACUUACGCUAAUACCGCAUACGACCUACGGGUGAAAGCAGGGGAUCUUCGGACCUUGCGCGAUUGAAUGAGCCGAUGUCGGAUUAGCUAGUUGGCGGGGUAAAGGCCCACCAAGGCGACGAUCCGUAGCUGGUCUGAGAGGAUGAUCAGCCAGACUGGAACUGAGACAGGGUCCAGACUCCUACGGGAGGAAGCAGUGGGGAAUAUUGGACAAUGGGGGCAAGCCUGAUCCAGCCAUACCGCGUGGGUGAAGAAGGCCUUCUGGUUGUAAAGCCCUUUUGUUGGGAAAGAAAAGCAGCAGGUUAAUACCCCGCUGUUCUGACGGUACCCAAAGAAUAAGCACCGGCUAACUUCGUG
rnacentral:rRNA from 1 species